GACGGAUGCCUUAUCCUGUGAAUAAACUGGCAGUGUUGAUCUACAGCUGUAUGCAGACCACAUCUUUCUUCCAAAGCUGCAAGGCGCACAUUUAAACUCAAAUCUCAGAGAUUGCAGCACCUAGAUUGCAGUACAAAUUGGUAUGACCAACCAGACCCAGCAACCAUCGAUCUUCAUUCUUUCUGCCACCCUGGAAACUGAAACCUUUUGUAGCAAGAGUUUGGAUGUGGAUAGGAAGAUUGUGUCCAGGAAGCCAAAACCAGAAGAUCAUCUGUUUAAUCCACUCCCAGGUAGUUCUAAAAUAUUUUUACCUAGCCUUAGAAACAUUAACUGUUGCUCAGAGAAUGUAUUUUUAACAGAGGCUUCGGUGUAUUCUGUCUGCUUGGUAUCCCAUCAUUUCUGCCCUGCUGAGGGCCUUUCCGAACAUAGACAAUAUGCCCAGACCAAUGGUCACACGUCUCUAAGGAUGAAUUGA
rnacentral:lncRNA from 1 species